UACAGAGGAGCCAAGCGUUGUCCGGAUUGACUGGGCGUAAAGCGCACGUAGGCGGCUUCUUAAGUCAGGGGUGAAAUCCUGGAGCUCAACUCCAGAACUGCCUUUGAUACUGAGGAGCUUGAGUCCGGGAGAGGUGAGUGGAACUGCGAGUGUAGAGGUGAAAUUCGUAGAUAUUCGCAAGAACACCAGUGGCGAAGGCGGCUCACUGGCCCGGUACUGACGCUGAGGUGCGAAAGCGUGGGGAGCAAACAGG
rnacentral:rRNA from 1 species